CGCUGGGUCAUGUGGCUGGGAGGCCGGUCGUGGCUCCUGGUUUUUGGGCAAGUGUGCUCCAGUCUUCGGUGCCUCGCAUUUGCCAGGACUUGGGGUGCCUGUAGGGGACCCAUGGCGGAAAGACUCUCGACCGGGGCUGAGGCAGCGAGCGGGCUGGGGGCUCCAGCUCAGCAAAACGGAGAUGCGGGCGGCGACGCGAGGGGUGAGCAGCCCCCUGGGCACCCGGAGCCGGCGUGUUCAGAAGUGGAGCCGGUUUCGGGGGACGCGAAGCAGCCCUCAGGAAACGGGGAGCGGGCCCCGGCUGCAGCCCCGGGCCCUGGCAAGCGGAAGAAGCGGCGGGGCGCUGUUGGAGAGCGCGUUGUGCCGCCCCCGAAGAAGCGGCGGGCAGGGGUUAGCUUCGGCGAUGAACACUUUGCUGAGACCAGCUACUACUUUGAAGGCGGCUUGCGCAAAGUGCGGCCCUAUUACUUUGACUUCCGGACUUAUUGCAAAGGCCGCUGGGUGGGCCACAGCUUGCUGCACGUCUUUGGCACGGAGUUCAGAGCCCAGCCCCUGGCCUACUACGAGGCCGCUGUCCGGGCAGGACGCCUGCACCUCAACGAGGAGCCGGUACAGGACCUCAGCAUUGUGCUCAAGGACAAUGACUUCUUACGGAACACAGUGCAUAGGCAUGAGCCACCAGUUACAGCAGAACCCAUCCGCCUGCUAGCGGAGAACGAAGAUGUGGUGGUUGUAGACAAGCCUUCUUCCAUUCCUGUCCAUCCCUGUGGCCGCUUCCGACACAACACGGUCAUCUUCAUCCUGGGCAAGGAGCACCAACUAAAGGAGCUACACCCAUUGCAUCGGCUUGAUCGCCUUACCUCCGGGGUCCUCAUGUUUGCCAAAACAGCAGCCGUCUCAGAGAGAAUUCAUGAACAGGUUCGGGACCGGCAGCUGGAGAAGGAAUACGUGUGCCGGGUGGCGGGGGAGUUCCCUGCCGAGGAGGUAACCUGCAAGGAGCCUAUCUUGGUGGUGUCUUACAAGGUAGGGGUGUGCCGUGUAGAUCCUCAGGGCAAGGCCUGUGAGUCAGUGUUCCAGAGACUGAGCUACAACGGCCACUCCAGUGUGGUACGAUGCCGGCCACUUACAGGCCGCACCCACCAGAUCCGAGUCCACCUCCAGUUCCUGGGCCACCCCAUCCUCAAUGACCCCAUCUACAACUCAGCCGCCUGGGGCCCCUCACGAGGCCGAGGCGGCCACAUCCCAAAGACAGAUGAGGAACUACUGCGGGACCUUGUGGCCGAGCACCAAGCCAAACAGAGUCUGGAUGUGCUAGAUCUCUGUGGGGGGGACCUGUGCCCUGGACCCCCAGACCCUACAGCACCUUCCUCAGAGCUCAGCAAGGACUGCCUAGAAGAGAUGGCUGCAUCUGCCCAGAAGAUGGAUGGAGCAGUUGAGGCAGCCCCUCAGGAUCUGGACGGAGUGCCUGUGGCGUCAGGGAAGGCAACCAAAACAGAUGUGAAUCAAGAGACAGACCCACUCUGUUCAGAGUGCCGGAGAGUGCCACAAGAUCCCUCACCCCAGGACCUUGUGAUGUUCCUGCAUGCCCUGCGCUAUAAAGGGCCAGACUUUGAGUACCAUUCACCAAUGCCUGCCUGGGCACGAGAUGACUGGCAAGAACACUGAGGGCUAUGGCCAAUGGAGGGAUUAUUUAUUGGAUCGGAACACGUAUGGGCCAUGAAGUAGGAGCUGACUACAUGGGCUGCUGUGACUCCAGACAGAAUCCAAGAGGAGAUUUACAAUCUUUUCUCUGGAUUUUAGAGCUUACUCUACCUUUUUGUGUUAGCCUUAAUCCUUUGGGUCUCGUAGAAAGAGGUAAAAUAAGCACAACUCUUAUACAUCAAAAGAUCACAGAAAUGCAAAAAAACUGGGACCAUCAUAGCAAGACUUACUGCAAUUUCAUAUGAACGAAACCACAAAUGAACUAAGCAUGAAAACAGGUAAAGAAAUGAGGAAUAGAAAAGUGAACUUCCACUCAUGAUUUCUUCUUCUUUUUAAUCUCAAGACACUUCCAGUGCUUUAUAGUUUCAGAAUUUUUACAACUGAAGAUCUUCCUUUGAGAAAACAACCCACUCACUUUUUAUUUAUAGAGACUGGACACAUUGAUAGACCUUAUCAAUUUUCCAUAGGAUAUCAUCACUGUGAGAAGCAGGCAAACCUCAGAAAAAUGAUGCAGACUUGCCACUCUUUGGAGAGGUCAAAGUACCAAUGAACCAUUUAAAUACCAUCUGGCAAAUGCUGAGGAAGACACACGGAGCUCCAGGAACAUCUAGGAGGGGUACAAAGACCCAGAAGCAGAAGAGCAUGAACUAGGUGAGAGAAAUCUAAGAAGGAGCUGCAGGUUGCAGGCCUAGGAAAGUCUUCCUGAUGGGGAAUUACGUCAAAGCUGAGAUCUGAAGGAGGAGCAGGAGCCAGCCAGGACGGGGUUGAUGGGAAGGAGGUGUUGGGCAGCAGGAGCAUAAUCCAGGGAGAGGAGUAAGUAAUCUGCAAAGGUGUCCGGGAGACAGAACAAGGCCUAAUUUAAGGGAGGGGUUUUAAGACUGAUGUGUUGAGGACACUUCAGAAAAUCCCUCAGGAGCUCUUAACCUUUUCUUGUGACACAGAUCUUGGGCAGUCUGGUGAAGCCUAUGGGUCCCUUCUCAGAAUAUUGGUUUUAAAUGCAUAAGAUUAAAAAAAAAUAAUAAAAAAAUAAAUGCAUGAUUAAAUUUGUUGUAAUAUAAAGUCAACCAAUUAUGUUGGAAUACAGUUAUCAAAAUAGUUUUAAAAUCUGUGAUUUAAUUCCAAAUGAAGUCAGAAAGAGAAAGAGAAAUACCAUAUAUCACUUACAUGUAGAAUCUAACAUAUGUGUGGAAUCUAUGA